GUCGAUAGCGGGAGGGGCGGCGGGGUAAGACGGUGGGAGCGGUCGUGGCUCGAAAUUACUGGACGUGAAGGGCUCGCAGGAGGCCGACAAAGGCAGACGUGGAAUGCCUUGGCGUAACCAGGGAAUCGCGUCUGAGACUGGUCGGCGUGAAGCCGUGAGAGGGAUGGGGAAUUCCAGGUGUAGCGGUGAAAUGCGUAGAUAUCUGGAGGAACACCGGUGGCGAAGGCGGCAUCCUGGACCGGUAUUGACGCUGAGGAGCGAAAGCCAGGGGAGCAAACGGGAUUAGAUACCCGGGUAGUC
rnacentral:rRNA from 1 species